UGGGGAAUAUUGGACAAUGGGCGCAAGCCUGAUCCAGCAAUGCCGCGUGUGUGAAGAAGGCCUGCGGGUUGUAAAGCACUUUCAGCAGGGAAGAAAAGCCCCGCAUUAACAGCGUGGGGUCCUGACGUUACCUGCAGAAGAAGCACCGGCUAAUUCCGUGCCAGCAGCCGCGGUAAUACGGGAGGUGCAAGCGUUAAUCGGAAUUACUGGGCGUAAAGCGCGCGCAGGCGGCCUGGUAAGUCGGAUGUGAAAGCCCCGGGCUUAACCUGGGAAUUGCAUUCGAUACUGCCGGGCUUGAGUACGGUAGAGGGAAGCGGAAUUCCGGGUGUAGCGGUGAAAUGCGUAGAUAUCCGGAGGAACACCAGUGGCGAAGGCGGCUUCCUGGUCCGAUACUGACGCUGAGGCGCGAAAGCGUGGGGAGCAAACAGGAUUAGAUACCCCCGUAGUCC
rnacentral:rRNA from 1 species